CGAAAUAGCUCAGUUGGUAGAGCGAUUCAUUCGUAAUGAAUAGGUCGCCGGUUCGAGUCCGGCUUUCGG
rnacentral:tRNA from 1 species